CUUGCCCCAGCCUUAUUCAGCUCAAUGGGAAUCUCUGAGAUCAGGAUGAAACCUAUGAGGAGAGACAAACUUUUCCAGGCUGUUUGGAGAGCACACAACGCAUGGCCACUCUUCCAUGAAGUCAGGCUUGAGGAGUUUUGAAACUGUGACCACAACAGAUUGUGUGAACUGUGUAUGGUGGGAGGCAGACCGAAAAUUUCCCCAGGCAGCUACAAGCAGGUACUAACCCCAGAGCUGACAAGGGAAGCUUUUAAAGUAG